UUAAGCUCAGUACAGCUUUUAAGUAUAUUGAUUUAAAUUAGAAUUCGUGUUUUUAUUUUGAAACUAAUAGCAUAUAACCACAUUAAUUAUGAUAAAAGUUGUAAAUCAUUUUUCAUUAACUAAUUAUAGUGCCAGCAGUUGCGGUUAUACUAUAAAUGAAUUUAUACACCUAUUUUCUUAAAUAAUACUUUUUUAAAAAAUUAAAUAUUAAGUGAAAUUUUAUUUCCCUUUUAUAAAAAUUUUAUAUUUACAGAAAAAAUUAAAAACUUAAAACAGGAUUAGAUACCCUUUUAUAUUUUAUUAACUUCGGUAGUAAUUUUUUAUUAUAAAACUAAUGUAGUUUGGCGGCAUUUAUUCAUAUUAGAGGAACCUGUCUUUUAAUCGAUUUUACACGAUAUUUUUCACUCUUAUUUAUAUUUUAUAUACCUCCAUCUCAAGGAUUAAUAAUUAUAUUUUCUUCAAAAUAGAUUUUUCCUAACAAGUUAGGUAAAGGUGUAAACUAUAUAAUAGAUAAGAUGGGUUACUUUAAAAUCAAUUUAAGGAUUUACUAUAAAAAUUUUUUUGAAAAGGGAUUUAUAAGUAAUUUUCAUAAUAAUAUUUUAAAAUGAACUUGAUAAACAAUGUGCACAUAUCGCCCGUCACCCUUAUCUAAAGGUAAGGUAAGUCGUAACAUAGUUGGUGUUUUGGAAAAAGCAUCAAG
rnacentral:rRNA from 1 species